GACGAACGCUGGCGGCGUGCCUAAUACAUGCAAGUAGAACGCUGAAGGAGGAGCUUGCUUCUCUGGAUGAGUUGCGAACGGGUGAGUAACGCGUAGGUAACCUGCCUGGUAGCGGGGGAUAACUAUUGGAAACGAUAGCUAAUACCGCAUAAGAGUAGAUGUUGCAUGACAUUUACUUAAAAGGUGCAAUUGCAUCACUACCAGAUGGACCUGCGUUGUAUUAGCUAGUUGGUGAGGUAACGGCUCACCAAGGCAACGAUACAUAGCCGACCUGAGAGGGUGAUCGGCCACACUGGGACUGAGACACGGCCCAGACUCCUACGGGAGGCAGCAGUAGGGAAUCUUCGGCAAUGGACGGAAGUCUGACCGAGCAACGCCGCGUGAGGGAAGAAGGUUUUCGGAUCGUAAAGCUCGGUUGUAAGAGAAGAACGAGUGUGAGAGUGGAAAGUUCACACUGUGACGGUAUCUUAACAGAAAGGGACGGCUAACUACGUG
rnacentral:rRNA from 1 species